rnacentral:rRNA from 1 species
CCUUGACAUACUAAGAACUUUCCAGAGAUGGAUUGGUGCCUUCGGGAACUUAGAUACAGGUGCUGCAUGGCUGUCGUCAGCUCGUGUCGUGAGAUGUUGGGUUAAGUCCCGCAACGAGCCGCAACCCUUUUCCUUAUUUGCCAGCGGGUCAUGCCGGGAACUUUAAGGAUACUGCCAGUGACAAACUGGAGGAAGGCGGGGACGACGUCAAGUCAUCAUGGCCCUUACGGCCAGGGCUACACACGUGCUACAAUGGUCGGUACAAAGGGUUGCUACCUCGCGAGAGGAUGCUAAUCUCAAAAAGCCGAUCGUAGUCCGGAUCGCAGUCUGCAACUCGACUGCGUGAAGUCGGAAUCGCUAGUAAUCGCGGAUCAGAAUGCCGCGGUGAAUACGUUCCCGGGCCUUGUACACACCGCCCGUCACACCAUGGGAGCUUGUUGCACCAGAAGUAGGUAGUCUAACCGCAAGGAGGACGCUUACCACGGUGUGGCCGAUGACUGGGGUGAAGUCGUAACAAGGUAAGCGUAGAUGA